rnacentral:rRNA from 1 species
GAUGAACGCUGGCGGCGUGCCUAAUACAUGCAAGUCGAGCGAACAGAUAAGGAGCUUGCUCCUUUGACGUUAGCGGCGGACGGGUGAGUAACACGUGGGUAACCUACCUAUAAGACUGGGAUAACUUCGGGAAACCGGAGCUAAUACCGGAUAACAUUUUGAACCGCAUGGUUCUAAAGUGAAAGAUGGUUUUGCUAUCACUUAUAGAUGGACCCGCGCCGUAUUAGCUAGUUGGUAAGGUAACGGCUUACCAAGGCGACGAUACGUAGCCGACCUGAGAGGGUGAUCGGCCACACUGGAACUGAGACACGGUCCAGACUCCUACGGGAGGCAGCAGUAGGGAAUCUUCCGCAAUAGGCGAAAGCCUGACGGAGCAACGCCGCGUGAGUGAUGAAGGGUUUCGGCUCGUAAAACUCUGUUAUUAGGGAAGAACAAAUGUGUAAGUAACUGUGCACGUCUUGACGGUACCUAAUCAGAAAGCCACGGCUAACUACGUG